AUUGAACGCUGGCGGCAGGCCUAACACAUGCAAGUCGAACGAGUGGCGGACGGGUGAGUAAUGUCUGGGUAACUGCCCGAUGGAGGGGGAUAACUACUGGAAACGGUAGCUAAUACCGCAUACCAUCGGAUGUGCCCAGAUGGGCUUAGCUAGUAGGUGGGGUACCGGCUCACCUAGGCGACGAUGCCUAGCUGGUCUGCGAGGAUGACCAGCCACACUGGAACUGAGACACGGGCCAGACGCCUACGGGAGGCAGCAGGGGGGAAUAUUGCACAAAGGGCGCAAGCCUGAUGCAGCCAUGCCGCGUGUAUGAAGAAGGCCUUCGGGUUGUAAAGUACUUUCAGCGAGGAGGCGUUACUCGCAGAAGAAGCACCGGCUAACUCCGUGCCAGCAGCCGCGGUAAUUC
rnacentral:rRNA from 1 species